UGGUGGGGGAAACUAGGGAGACUUUUUCCCCGGGGAGGAUCCGGCCCCGCGCGGGGAGCGCAGCAAGAUUUCGCGCGCCGCACGCGUCUACACUCUCCUGCGCUUUGCAGCAGGACCGCGGGAGGGGGAGCCGCAGAAAAGCCCGGGAGGAUUGGUUGUUUGUUUAACAGGCCUGGGAGUGGGAUUUAUUUCACGCACCCAACCUUAAAAGUUUUUCAUAAAGAAAACCCGAGCCCUCGUGAAUGCCCUUUCCAGUCCGCCCUCCUCCCGCCCAAUUAAAAAAAAAAAUCAUUAACGCACCAAUUUCCACGCGCGCUCUGAACUAGGGGGCACACACACACCCCUAGACACUUGAACAAUGAUGAAAAAAAGUUACUUUGGCAAGAAUGAAGGUAAAGAAAUGGGGGAGGCGACACUUUUAACUUCUUGUUGCUUCUCCCCCGCCCCCACGGGAACGGAACAUAUGGCUUGUCACGCUGCGCUGUUUUGGCGGGGUGGGGGGAGGACGGUAGUAGCAGAUCCUCGAAACCGAAAGCCCCCUCCCCAAUGGAUUACUCCUUUUAAGACUGUUAUAUAUUUACUGUUAGGUUCGCAUGCCUCUCCAUCCACCCAAAUACAAAGUUAAAGUGUCGCCCACGGCCCCCGCCCCGGUGCUGGAGCGAAGACCCAGGCGGAAAUCGCGGGGCUAUGUUUCUUUCCUAUUUCCCCGCGUGCCGGCCGCCUCCUCAGCCCUCGCACGUUUCUUCCCAGCACUCGAGGCCGCCGGGUCUGUUAUGAAACCCCGAGCGCUGAGUGGCUAAGAGCGGGUUCCAUUGCGAUGUAAUUAGGUCACCCCAUUAUGAGCACGUUUCUUUGGAAAGGACAGGGCGGGCGGAGCAGAGCGCUCGAGUCGCGCUCUCACCACCACCACCCACCCACCCACCCACACACGCAUUUUUAUUACAUUUCUGAUGUAUUCGUCAACCUCCGAGCGGACCCAGGGAAACCUUCCAAAUCACAACGAAAGGAACCGGUUGUUUUUCAUCUUUCAGAAACACACAACAACUGCUGCAGCCACGAAUCUACGCGAUCCUAGCCCGGUCUGCUGUUAUAUGCCCCUCUGACUUAAACUGAUGACGGCCCCCAUUUUUGACCUGGAUGCUGCCCCUCGCCUUGCCUUCUGCUGCUGUCCAGCCUCCUGUUGCUUCCCCCCCCCCCCACCACCACCACGCCCCGUUCCCAUUUUUCAGCUUUUCUUGAAAUCUGGCAAGCGCCAGAAAGGGAAAUAACUUCCAUCCACCUUAAUUUAAAUCAUUCAAGUGUAAGUUUCUUUCUUAAAGGAGUGUUUGCUCGCUCCUUUCCCCAUGCUCCCCCUCCAAGUCGGGGAGGGGGGGGCGUCGAGCAGUUUCUUGGUGAUGAGGUAAUGAGUUCCAGAUUUCAGGACAGAGCAGGCUGCGCGUUAAAACCACAAGGUUAGUCUGCGUCCUGAUGUGAAGCUAUUUCGUCUUUUUAUCUCCCUCCCCCUCCCACCUCCAAAAAAGGCCCAUUGGUCUUUAACUCUGGAGGGUUCGCGAAGCUCUGCUGGGGGGAACGGAGGAGGGGUGGAGAAGCGAGGGAGAAGGGGGCCCCGGAGCGGGUGGGGCCGCCUUCCCGGCCCCAGGCCCGGCCCGCACCCGCUGUCCCCCUGCGGCUGCAGGGCCAGCCAGAAGUAUCGUCACGUUGCCCGGCGCCGCAAGCUAGCGAAAAAGUCUUUAUUCUUUUUUUUUUUUCUUUUUCUCCCCCCACCCCCACCCCACCCCCAAAGAGAUCGCCGAUUCCUCGAAUUUCCUCCGCUUUUCCAACUCCCGGCCGCCGAUCCCCUCCCCCGCUCCCGUGGCGCGGGCUAGGCGGGGCGGCGGCCUGGCCCGCUCGCUCCGGAGUUGUUUACCGGCCCCGCCGACCCACCGAGUUUGUUCCAGCUCCCAGAGCCUGUCUCUAUAAUUAAACUCUUUUUUAAUUGUCGGGUUGAAACGUCAUUUCGGGGACUUUCCAAGGGUGAGGGAGCCGCGGGGAGGGAGCGAGCCUCCUUAACCCUUCGCUGACCCGGCGGGCCGGGGAGCCGCGUCCAGCCGGGCCGAAGUGGGCUGGGAGUCUGGGGACCGGAGUCGGCCCGCCCCGGCCGGACGUGCUGUGCAGGUGCCCGAAGGCAGCGAGGAUGGCCGCCAGCCCCGACCGCGGCAGGAAGCCCUGCGAGAGCCGUGCGCCGCCCUCCCCGCCUCCUUUGCGAGGCAGUAGGCGCUCGGGUUCCUAACUCGCGCCGGGUCUGGAGAGGCUGCCCCUUCACCUGCACUGCCGCUUCCGACCGGGAGGCGGUCGCCCGGGUCCUCCGUUUCAGGCCCGACUUCCGGGCCCUCCUGGCUCCCUCGCAGCCGAUAUCCUCGCGAGGAAGGCCUAGCCAGGUACUUUUGGCUUGGAGGUGUUAGGUUUCGUUCAAGGAGAAAAGUGAAAGUCCUCGGAAUGAGGGAAGCGCGACGGACGUAUUCAUGGGCCAGUCUGGACCGUGGGCCCUCCCCACAGCAGCAGAACGUUGGACAUUGAUAAGGAUGAUGAGGCACGGAGGCGACCAGGCAGGAGAGCCAGGGGUAGAGAAGGCAAGGGAGACCUCGAUGGCACUCGCGGAGCAGCACGUGGCCACCAUCCCCAUGGGGCCCAGGAGAGGACGGUGCAGCCGGAUGGACAUCCAGUGGGGGCUCUGGGGCCCCAGCAUCCCAGGUAUGCAUCGACAAAGUCGCUUCUCAGCCAGGCCCACCCCAGAGCUCAGCCCGGCCCCAGUGGCACCGAGAGCCCGGGGUGGGAGGCAAGCAUGGGUCGGGGGUGGGGAGGGUGGUGGACGGCCAGAUGGACUCCAGUCGCUCUGCCUCAGACAGCUGGGGAGCAGAGCAAGGACGCGCCUCUCUGUCACUCCACAUGGGAGGGGCGCGGCUGCGACUUCUAGAGUUUCUCCGCCACCACACCCUUCGAGAAGUGCCACCUGCUUCUAUCAGUUUGAGGCUGAGCCUUAGGGCCUCCCACAGGUGGGGUCUGUGUUGCUCCUCAGUGACCAGCCACCUUUAAGACACCUUGAGAUGAACAGCCACUACUUCCAUUCUCCUGGAAACCUGAAAACGCCCCCUGGCUGGGCUGGGUUGGGGGUGUUGGGAGGGGGUCUUCAGCCAGAGAGCAACUCUCAAAGGACACCCAGACUCCCACAAGAGGCAGCCCCCCAUACUGCAAGUCCUCCCACCCACAGCACAGAGCUUUGCUAGAAAUGCAUUCCCCAUGCACCUCCCCAGAGCGCCCACCUUUAGGGGGAAUCCCGGUGAAUCCCCCACCUGUCCACUCCAAGAGGGGCGGAUUCCACGGCCUCCCUGAGCAAUGGGGCCCAGGCCCACACACCGUGGAGGAAACACCAUCUGCCCCAACCUUCAGCUCCAGCCUGGCAGCCCAUGUGAACCCUCGCAGCGGGGAGAGGAACCCUGUCCCCAGCCCCGCCCCGCCUCCAGAAGGGGGCUCCUCUCCCAGGGACACCAGGGCUGCGGGAGAAUCUUCUGAUGCUCAGGUCAUCUUCUGCCGCCGUGGCUCUGCCUGCCGGCUGUGGCCUCCUUCUUGCCAGCUCGGCUGAAAGAAAUGAGCAAGAAUAAAGCCUAAACCUGUGUGGCCCAAAGGAAAGCUUGAGGGGAACGCAUGGAUGCUGAAAGAAAAGGGGGAAAGAGCGACAAGAAAGAGGAGAGGAGGGGAACUCGGGAAACAGACAAAAUAAACCAUCCAGGAAUCCAGAUGUAAAACAAGGAGGCCAAAAGAAAAAAGAAAAAUUACGCUAAGAAGGCAGAGUCGGGUGGAGAAGGAACUUGAGAAGGAAAAAGAAGAGGAGGCAGUUAUAAAUAUUCUGAAAAGAGAAGAAUGGGAACGCAAACAACACCAGAAAAAUAAAUAAUAAUAAAAUAAAAUAAAAUAGAGACCCAGGAGGGAAAGAGAGGCAGCAAUGAGUUUAAAACUGCUUCGACCCCCAACCAACUGCACUGGGUAAACGCUCUGAGUCUUCGUGCAUUUUAUGACGUCAGACACUUCUAACACUGAGCAGAGGACAGUCCCAGAAAAGCAAGCUUUCUUGCAGGCUCUUGUUUGUCCUACAAUUCCCCAGCUCACCCCCACCAUUGGUCUUUUUCAGGGGGAGAGCUCUUCUUCCCAGGGUGAGGCCAAAAUCCACUCCAGGUCGCGCUCGAGUCUGGUGGCUUCCAUCGUGGUGCCCUCUGCAGGGCCCUCUGGGGGAUCCGAGCAGGAGGAGCCUGGUGACGGAGAAGCACUGGGUGUGAUGCGGCUGUGCCACGAGCUUUUCCUCUCCUAGGGAGGGCUUUUCCCAGACACCUCUCUGUGGACCAGGGCUAACCCAGCCCUCAGACACAGCAGGGGUGCCUGGAAGCAGGCUUGCCGGCCUCUGUGCAGAGCCAGAGGAGUCCCAGCAAAUGCAACUUUUAGAAACAACUUAGAUGAUUUAAAAUUGUUUCCAGGCAUUCCCAACAGGACCUAAAGAUAGCUACAGUUUUCUCAUUGCUAGGGUGGCAAACAGCUUAGUUUCUUGAAGUUCACCUUCAGUGCCUUAUAGUCCCCUUAUAAAUCCCAGGAACUCUUGCAGAAGACGCUGGUUCCUCUCCCUUUGUCUGCUGGGCCUUUCAGCCUUCUCUUGCCCCUCUUUCUCUCUGUGAGUCAGCCAGUGUCUCUCCUCUGUGUCUGCCUAGGCCGUUCAUUUCCCUUUAUCCCACCUACCUCUGCCCCCGCGUCCAUUUCCCUAGGGCCACAGGCCUCAGGGAGUGAACUGAAGCAAACCAAGGCAAAAUCAAGAAAUAAAGGAAGUAAAAACGCGAGUUUGGUACAGCGCCCAGCAUUGGCAUGUCCAGGCCGUCUGCCGUGGAUGGGGAGGGCUGCUGGUGGACAGAGCCCCAAGCUCACCAGGCCUCCUAAAACUGAUUCCCCCAAAAUUCAGCCAAGGGGAAACCACGCUGGCCGAGCUCUGAUUGACUGGGCCAAAGGAAACUAUGCCCACUCAGGUUCUUCUCCCCAAGAAUUCUUAAGUACUUGACCCCGGUUUCUCUACAUUCCAAAAGUCACAUUUUUCUUCUAUCAAAAACUGAGGGAUGUGGCCACACAUAGAGCAGGGAUCACAUCUUGGUUAUAGCCUUGGAAACUCACCCGAUUUCUUCUCAUCCCUCUUCAUCCUCCAACCUGCCACAGUCAAACAAUCUAUGACUCAAACUAUUAUUUAACCGUGAAAAAAGACAAACCAGGAAACUAGAGGCUGAAUGACUUAAAAUUUAUUCCAUUCAACUGAGCUAAUCUCCUGAGAAGGGUGUGUAUAGUAAGAAGUCAGGCUCUAUCUCUGGCAGAUGUGAACAUAGCAGGGAAAGGUACACGGUGGUUGAAGGUCCCAACCUGUUGAGAUCUGCCCUCAAAAGGGUAAGCGCCUGGUCCUGGGCCACACAACUAAGCAGUUUGCCAAACCAGUCUUAACACUUGGGAAACAACGAAGAGUAGCCCAUGUUUCAAGGUUGACCGCAGUCAAAUUCCAGCACUGUCACUGCCUAGGCAAGCAAGGGACUUACCUGUCUCCUGUGGUCUCCUCCGCUAGGAAAUGGCAGUGACAGCAACCCCCAUCUCCUGGGGCUGUGGCCAUGAGGACAGACGAGCAAGGCGCUUGGCCCAUGUGACCAGCUCCCCCUCCCCACAAGCACCCCUAGUCAACUGUUGCUGUAUGUUCAGCAGCAAAUUGGCAAGACCAAGGAAGAAGGCCGGAGGCCCCACAAAGUGGGGUUCCACGGAGUCACUGGAACACAGUCAAGUAUCCUGAGCAAGAGAGGAGAGGGUCCCAGAGGAGGCCCAGGCAGCUGGCGGGUGGAGCACUGUGCAGAGAGCCAAGGACAGCCACUCACAGCGUGGGUGGGAGAACGCAGGGGGCUGCGCUCCAGUCCUCCCGCAUUAGCUCAACUCGGCUGCAUCCCCACCCUUGCAUGUGUUCAUCCUUCCGUGAGCCCCAGCACGUAGUUACCUGGCACCCACUACGUGCACAGCCCCGGCCAGGCCAAGGGUGGCAGGGGGAGCAAGCUUACGCGGGGAUCACGAGCCUCAGAAACUUCCUAACCGGGCAUUUCCAUCCAAGUUCAGAGAUCUGUCCUUUUAGGAGCUGGAGUGUAAGGAUAUGACCAAAUGCUGAGAAAUUCUCAUUUCAGGGCCAAUUUUCUUUCUUAAAGUAGAAAAGCAAAGAGUUCAAAAAUGUUCCAGAAAUGGGAACACUCACUUAAUCUUGUUAACAUUUAAGGGGUAUUGUUAAUUUUUAGGUGAAAUAAAGACAGGGUGGCUAAAUUUAACAAGCUCCCCCCCUUUUUUAGAGAUACAUGAAGAAAUGCUGCAGAUGAGAUGGUAUGCCUGUGACACAGGAUUUGCUUCAGUGUGAUGUGGGAGGUGGGGAGGCAGUUGGUGGUGUCCGUGGACGAGCUUGGCCAAGAGUCAGUCACGUUGGGGAUGAGUAUGUGGGGCUUCAUUGUACUUCUCUGUCUCCUCCUGUAUAUGUUUGAAAUUUUCCACAAUUAAAUGUCUGAAGUUCAUAAAAGCUGAAAUGUUUUUAACUCGG